rnacentral:rRNA from 1 species
UGACAGUACUCCUACGGGGAGGCAGCAGUGGGGGAAUAUUGCACAAUGGGCGCAAGCCUGAUGCAGCCAUGCCGCGUGUGUGAAGAAGGCCUUCGGGUUGUAAAGCACUUUCAGUCGUGAGGAAGGUAGUGUAGUUAAUAGCUGCAGUAUUUGACGUUAGCGACAGAAGAAGCACCGGCUAACUCCGUGCCAGCAGCCGCGGUAAUACGGAGGGUGCGAGCGUUAAUCGGAAUUACUGGGCGUAAAGCGCAUGCAGGUGGUUUGUUAAGUCAGAUGUGAAAGCCCGGGGCUCAACCUCGGAAUAGCAUUUGAAACUGGCAGACUAGAGUACUGUAGAGGGGGGUAGGAAUUUCAGGUGUAGCGGUGAAAUGCGUAGAGAUCUGAAGGAAUACCGGUGGCGAAGGCGGCCCCCUGGACAGAUACUGACACUCAGAUGCGAAAGCGUGGGGAGCAAACAGGAUUAGAUACCCUGGUAG